CUUCCCAUUUGACUACCAUAAUUUCUCCUAAGAAUAGAUUUUAGUGGCUAUGCUGAUGGGAUAAAGCAAAUCGCCAUGAUCUGAAGAAGGAGGACUUGUGUCCUCCUUCUAUAUGAAAUGACUGAACAGAAAAAU